GGGGUUGUAGCCUAGUGGUUAGAGCGUCGGACUCACAACUUGAAGGUCGGGGGUUCGAUUCUCGAUCCACCUCG
rfam:Macrostomum lignano uti_cns_0002973, whole genome shotgun sequence.